UUGAUUUAAUUUUGAACGAGUGGCGGACGGGUGAGUAACACGUGGGUAACCUGCCCUUAAGUGGGGGAUAACAUUUGGAAACAGAUGCUAAUACCGCAUAAAUCCAAGAACCGCAUGGUUCUUGGCUGAAAGAUGGCGUAAGCUAUCGCUUUUGGAUGGACCCGCGGCGUAUUAGCUAGUUGGUGAGGUAACGGCUCACCAAGGCAAUGAUACGUAGCCGAACUGAGAGGUUGAUCGGCCACAUUGGGACUGAGACACGGCCCAAACUCUACGGGAGGCAGCAGUAGGGAAUCUUCCACAAUGGACGCAAGUCUGAUGGAGCAACGCCGCGUGAGUUAAGAAGGCUUUCGGGUCGUAAAACUCUGUUGUUGGAGAAGAAUGGUCGGCAGAGUAACUGUUGUCGGCGUGACGGUAUCCAACCAGAAAGCCACGGCUAACUACGUGCCAGCAGCCGCGGUAAUACGUAGGUGGCAAGCGUUAUCCGGAUUUAUUGGGCGUAAAGCGAGCGCAGGCGGUUUUUUAAGUCUGAUGUGAAAGCCCUCGGCUUAACCGAGGAAGUGCAUCGGAAACUGGGAAACUUGAGUUCAGAAGAGGACAGUGGAACUCCAUGUGUAGCGGUGAAAUGCGUAGAUAUAUGGAAGAACACCAGUGGCGAAGGCGGCUGUCUGGUCUGUAACUGACGCUGAGGCUCGAAAGCAUGGGUAGCGAACAGGAUUAGAUACCCUGGUAGUCCAUGCCGUAAACGAUGAAUGCUAGGUGUUGGAGGGUUUCCGCCCUUCAGUGCCGCAGCUAACGCAUUAAGCAUUCCGCCUGGGGAGUACGACCGCAAGGUUGAAACUCAAAGGAAUUGACGGGGGCCCGCACAAGCGGUGGAGCAUGUGGUUUAAUUCGAAGCAACGCGAAGAACCUUACCAGGUCUUGACAUCUUUUGAUCACCUGAGAGAUCAGGUUUCCCCUUCGGGGGCAAAAUGACAGGUGGUGCAUGGUUGUCGUCAGCUCGUGUCGUGAGAUGUUGGGUUAAGUCCCGCAACGAGCGCAACCCUUAUGACUAGUUGCCAGCAUUUAGUUGGGCACUCUAGUAAGACUGCCGGUGACAAACCGGAGGAAGGUGGGGAUGACGUCAAAUCAUCAUGCCCCUUAUGACCUGGGCUACACACGUGCUACAAUGGAUGGUACAACGAGUUGCGAGACCGCGAGGUCAAGCUAAUCUCUUAAAGCCAUUCUCAGUUCGGACUGUAGGCUGCAACUCGCCUACACGAAGUCGGAAUCGCUAGUAAUCGCGGAUCAGCACGCCGCGGUGAAUACGUUCCCGGGCCUUGUACACACCGCCCGUCACACCAUGAGAGUUUGUAACACCCGAAGCCGGUGGCGUAACCCUUUU
rnacentral:rRNA from 1 species